GCGGGGUUGGUGUAGUGGUUAUCACGUCUGCUUUACACGCAGAAGGUCGCGGGUUCGAACCCCGCA
rnacentral:tRNA from 1 species